GCCCCUGUGGUGGAAUUGGUAGACGCGGCAGACUCAAAAUCUGUUGCCCGUAAGGGUGUGGGAGUUCGAGUCUCCCCGGGGGCACCA
rnacentral:tRNA from 1 species